UAAUACAGAGGUCCCGAGCGUUGUUCGGAUUCAUUGGGCGUAAAGGGUGCGUAGGCGGCGGGGCAAGUCUGAUGUGAAAUCCCGGGGCUCAACCCCGGAACUGCAUUGGAUACUGCCUUGCUAGAGUACUGGAGAGGGAACUGGAAUUUACGGUGUAGCAGUGAAAUGCGUAGAGAUCGUAAGGAAGGCCAGUGGCGAAGGCGAGUUCCUGGACAGUUACUGACGCUGAGGCACGAAGGCCAGGGGAGCAAACGGGAUUAGAUACCCCGGUAGUCCUGGCAGUAAACGGUGCACGUUUGGUGUGGGAGGAAUCGACCCCUUCCGUGCCGGAGCUAACGCGUUAAACGUGCCGCCUGGGGAGUACGGUCGCAAGAUUA
rnacentral:rRNA from 1 species